GACGUAGGGGGCCAGCGUUGUUCGGAAUUACUGGGUGUAAAGGGUUCGUAGGCGGUGUGGCAAGUCGGGAGUGAAAUCUCUGGGCUCAACUCAGAGACUGCUUCCGAAACUGCUGUGCUGGAGUGUGGGAGAGGCGCGUGGAAUUGCAGGUGUAGCGGUGAAAUGCGUAGAUAUCGGGAGGAACACCAAUGGCGAAGGCAGCUCGCUGGGACGUUACUGACGCUGAGACGCGAAAGCGUGGGGAGCAAACAGG
rnacentral:rRNA from 1 species